GGGACACGUGGUAUCCUGUCUGAAUAUGGGGGGACCAUCCUCCAAGGCUAAAUACUCCUGACUGACCGAUAGUGAACCAGUACCGUGAGGGAAAGGCGAAAAGAACCCCGGCGAGGGGAGUGAAAAAGAACCUGAAACCGUGUACGUACAAGCAGUGGGAGCACCUUCGGGUGUGACUGCGUACCUUUUGUAUAAUGGGUCAGCGACUUAUAUUCUGUAGCAAGGUUAACCGUAUAGGGGAGCCGCAGGGAAACCGAGUCUUAACUGGGCGUUAAGUUGCAGGGUAUAGACCCGAAACCCGGUGAUCUAGCCAUGGGCAGGUUGAAGGUUGGGUAACACUAACUGGAGGACCGAACCGACUAAUGUUGAAAAAUUAGCGGAUGACUUGUGGCUGGGGGUGAAAGGCCAAUCAAACCGGGAGAUAGCUGGUUCUCCCCGAAAGCUAUUUAGGUAGCGCCUCGUGAACUCAUCUUCGGGGGUAGAGCACUGUUUCGGCUAGGGGGUCAUCCCGACUUACCAACCCGAUGCAAACUACGAAUACCGAAGAAUGUUAUCACGGGAGACACACGGCGGGUGCUAACGUCCGUCGUGAAGAGGGAAACAACCCAGACCGCCAGCUAAGGUCCCAAAGUCAUGGUUAAGUGGGAAACGAUGUGGGAAGGCACAGACAGCCAGGAUGUUGGCUUAGAAGCAGCCAUCAUUUAAAGAAAGCGUAAUAGCUCACUGGUCGAGUCGGCCUGCGCGGAAGAUGUAACGGGGCUAAACCAUG
rnacentral:rRNA from 3 species